rnacentral:rRNA from 1 species
UACGAAGGGGGCUAGCGUUGUUCGGAAUCACUGGGCGUAAAGCGCACGUAGGCGGAUCUUUAAGUCAGGGGUGAAAUCCCGAGGCUCAACCUCGGAACUGCCUUUGAUACUGGGGAUCUCGAGUCCGGGAGAGGUGAGUGGAACUGCGAGUGUAGAGGUGAAAUUCGUAGAUAUUCGCAAGAACACCAGUGGCGAAGGCGGCUCACUGGCCUGUUCUUGACGCUGAGGCGCGAAAGCUGGGGGAGCAAACGGGG